AUUGAACGCUGGCGGCAGGCCUAACACAUGCAAGUCGAACGAGUGGCGGACGGGUGAGUAAUGUCUGGGAAACUGCCUGAUGGAGGGGGAUAACUACUGGAAACGGUAGCUAAUACCGCAUACCAUCAGAUGUGCCCAGAUGGGAUUAGCUAGUUGGUGGGGUAACGGCUCACCAAGGCGACGAUCCCUAGCUGGUUUGAGAGGAUGACCAGCAACACUGGAACAGAAAAACGGUCCAGACUCCAACGGGAGGCAGAAGUGGGGAAUAUUGCCCAAUGGGCGAAAGCCUGAUGCAGCCAUGCCGCGUGUAUGAAGAAGGCCUUCGGGUUGUAAAGUACUUUCAGCGGGGAGGCGUUACCCGCAGAAGAAGCACCGGCUAACUCCGUGCCAGCAGCCGCGGUAAUAC
rnacentral:rRNA from 1 species